AGAGCGAACGCUGGCGGCAGGCUUAACACAUGCAAGUCGAGCGCCCCGCAAGGGGAGCGGCAGACGGGAGAGUAACACGUGGGAACGUACCUUUCGGUUCGGAACAACCCAGGGAAACUUGGGCUAAUACCGGAUACGCCCGCAAGGGGAAAGAUUUAUCGCCGGAAGAUCGGCCCGCGUCUGAUUAGCUAGUUGGUGAGGUAAUGGCCCACAAGGCGACGAUCAGUAGCUGGUCUGAGAGGAUGAUCAGCCACAUUGGGACUGAGACACGGCCCAAACUCCUACGGGAGGCAGCAGUGGGGAAUAUUGGACAAUGGGCGCAAGCCUGAUCCAGCCAUGCCGCGUGAGUGAUGAAGGCCCUAGGGUUGUAAAGCUCUUUGUGCGGGAAGAUAAUGACGGUACCGCAAGAAUAAGCCCGGCUAACUCGUGCCAGCAGCCGC
rnacentral:rRNA from 1 species